rnacentral:misc_RNA from 1 species
AAAAAUGUCACAACUAUCAUCACUCCUCCUUGGCAUUUUUGCUGGAAACACCAAGGCUACUCCUCAAUGUUUCAAAUCUUGCUUUGGACAGGCCCUUUGUCAAAACAUCUGCAAUUUGAGCUUCUGAAUCACAAUGAACUAGCUUGACUUCUUCAUCUUUUUCUGCUUCUCUGAUGAAGUGGUAUUUAAUCUUAAUAUGCUUGGUUUUCCCAUGAAAAAUAGGAUUCUUAGCCAUUGCUACUGCUGAUUGAUUAUCACAAAAAAUGAUAGCAG